GGAGCCAUGGAUCAUGGAUGGGAGCUUGGAAGAAUAGUCAGGGCUUGACCGAGGAUGGGAGCCUGAACUCUGGAGACAGGACUAAUUAAAUAAGCAGCCUUCUUUGACCUGGUAAACGCCCAACGCCCUGCUGCUGCUGAAUAGUACUGCUCCUAUAGAUGAAUUACUCACAAAAUAGUAAAAUCUCGUGUUGAAAUUUAUGACCACAUGGCUAAUGGUGUUUUGUUUUUCUUGCUUGAUUUAUGUUUUAUUUUUCUUGCAAAUAUCUGGCUCCUGCCAUGAUGCUGACUGUUGCUGAUUAAGAAAGGGAGAAAAAUGGUGUGAAGCCAGAAAAGUGGUUUUCCGGCGGCAGAGGCACCAAGGGGAGCGUUGACUUGGAAUGUUUAAACGAAGGCAGAUCUUUGGCCGCAACUUUUACAAGACUGAUGACUUGUCAUCUUGUGAAUCUACUACUCAAGUUACAGAACUUCUUUUGUUUAGGCUAUUACUUCCAGAAUUCAACCUCCAACCUUGACCAGAUGGCGUCUCCUCUGGAAGAUAGGAUCUACAACGGGUACUUACCUGGUCACGGUGAAUUACCGGAAUUUUGAAAUGUCUCCUGGUCUGUUUGAUUUACAGUGCGUCAGUUCACGGUUGCGAUUAUCAAAGUCAUGUUAAU
rnacentral:lncRNA from 1 species